rnacentral:rRNA from 1 species
GAUGAACGCUGGCGGCGUGCCUAAUACAUGCAAGUCGAGCGAGAAGCUUGGAAAUGACGCUUCGGUUGAUUUUCCAAGCGGACAGCGGCGGACGGGUGAGUAACGCGUAGGCAACCUGCCCCUGACAGAGGGAUAGCCAUUGGAAACGAUGAUUAAAACCUCAUGACACCGUAGUAGCACAUGCUACAUCGGUCAAAGAUUUAUCGGUCAGGGAUGGGCCUGCGUCUGAUUAACUGGUUGGUGAGGUAACGGCUCACCAAGGUGACGAUCAGUAGCCGACCUGAGAGGGUGAUCGGCCACAUUGGAACUGAGACACGGUCCAAACUUCUACGGAAGGCAGCAGCAGGGAAUCUUGCACAAUGGGCGAAAAGCCCUGAAGCAGCAAACGCCGCCGUGAAGG